GUGCAGUCUAUCUUUCAUAUAGUCUCUUAUUGGAGCAUUGACUAAGGGUUAACGUGAUAAAAGAAAGCAAGCAAACGGGUCCAAACGCGGAGUACCAAUAAAUAUUUGCAAAGCUGUACUGCAACACAAGAAAUUGCGUGAUCGCAGCCAUACCCAAGGAAAAAACUAUGUAAGUCAUCACCAUCAGCUUGUUUAUGUGCUCUCCCAGCGAUUUCCAUAACCUUUGACUUGCUCCAGCUGAUUUCAUCUUAAGUCUGACAACAUUCUAAUUUUAUCGCAUGGCUUAAUUUCCUGCCGUCUUUGACUGCACUUCACUUCUCUUGGCACCCAGUUUUUAACUCUAAUGCACCUCCCGUCGUCUGCUCCACGCAUUACGUGGACCGUCCAGAUCCAUCGUUUCCUCUUAAUGUUUACUAGAAUAUUGGCUACGCGAUGUUUGCUAACUAAUCCAUAUCGCUGUCUUCUUGUCUCUGAACAAUAUUCUUAACAUUUUUCUUCCCAAGUUUGUGUGUUAAUCCUCAAGUGUCUGCUCCGUAUAUUGGUGCCCAUACCCUUUUCAAGGAUAGCUGUGAGCUAUCGGUUAUGAUUUCGUAAAGCGUACCAUAUGGGGUCCUACUGAUCUCACUUUCCCGUAAAUUUACCUGCCGUGAUCAAAGCCGGUUACAUUUCCUUAAUGUAAUGCACACUAAUAUUCAACCUUCGUCUUGCUCUGUCGGCUCAGCUGUACCAUAGCAGUCAUACAUUACGUUACUUACGAAUUCACAUAAUGGAAAAAUUACACAGCGUAAUCAUAUACAGGUUAUAUUUUCGGCACCAUUAAUCUGGUGGGGUUAGAAUUCAGCCUUCUAUCAAAAUUAAUCGCAAGCACCUUCGUCCUUACGUGGCAUUAAUGGAAGGGGAAAUCUGACAUUCGACAAUCAGUUAUCAGGCCUCACGUAGGAAAAUUUCCACGCUGCUUUAAGCAAUGGUCUAAUGAGCCUGAGCUAAAUCUCUGAAGAAUAUAAUGUCGGCAUCCAGUUUGCAGGUAUACAAAAGCCAUCGCCGAAAGUAGAAAGAAACUCGUAUCUUGCACUUUCAUAAUAAACAAAUAAGGCGAGAGAUAAUUGACGUAAAAAACUCCUGCAGUCGCGUUUGAGAUGUGUUAGCAUCGCAUAGCUUCGGUUGUUUUAUCCCGCCAGCAAAUGCACUAUCGUGGCCUUCGUGGCACUGUGGCCUAGGCCAUUCUGCACAACCAACUAUUUUCACCUUAACCGGAAUGAUUGAUUUUUUUGGCUUUUGGCACUGGGCUCGUUGCUUCGCUUGCGUUCGCCUGUAUCUCGUACACAGCCGAGAGCGUUUCCGGGGCUGUGUGAAGCGCACUAUAUUCGCGCAGUGUCAAGAGUGAAAUCUCGCAAAAGUGAAACUAUCUCCGUAAGAAAUCGCCCCCUAUUGCACCCCUAACUUUGCAAGAUGAAAACAGAAAAGUAAAAACAUACUACCAAUGCCGGACACAAAUAAGGCUUGUCGUCCUGUCUGUUACUAGAUUGCACCUGGCGCAGUAAUGCGCGAAGCACGCGUGGUUAGGAGUGGCAAUGUCUUUUUCUCCACUACACAGACACAUAAGAAAGUAUGAUGUCAUAAUGAGUUAAAAUUCUUGUAGUACUCAAGAUUCCUGAUGAAUUAAAUUUUUCGGGGCAUCUUGAUGGCGUUUCACGAUUUAUGCUGCGCAAAAUAGAACCUCAAGGUUUCGUGUGCCCCACCUUUGUCUGUGCUCCUCACAUACGUGUGCAAUGUUUUUUUUUCUUUAUUUCAUUGGUGCCCCGAUUAAACGGCAUAAAGUAGGCCUGAUCCUGCCGUGCACACAUCUUUUGGGUAAAGACGAUGUUGGCCUUUCGUGCAUCAUCACCAGGACCAACGUGUGAGGUAGCACGGUGGCCGACUCUAUUAGCCAGACAAGCAAGAUCUGGUGGUCAGCUGUUCUGGAGCCUUGGUGCCUCCCUCGUCCUGUGGACUUGGUGGCCAGCUUUUCUAGCAACCUGGUAUCACGUUGCCCACUCUGCGCGCCUGGUUACCAGGUGUUCUAGCAGCCUGGUAUGUUGGUUCCCGCCUUGAGGACCAAGUGGAUCGCAGUUCUGGUGGCCCGGUUUUUUGCUGCUUGUUCUGCGGACCUGGUGGUCAGCUAUUCUGGCGGCCUGGUUUGCUGAUCAGAUUUUAGCGCCCGCGUUAUCCAAUAACAGCAGGCAAGAGCUUAUUUCAUUCUAUCUGAAUUACGUCAUAAUAUAUGGCUAGUUGGGCGAGAUGGUGGGUUGGAAUUUUCAAUAUUAGUGACUGUGCUCAGUUCGUUUCUUAUAUUGAUUUCCGCAAUUUCCUUGUAAUUAAACGCCACCUUCGCCUGCAUCACAGGCGAUGUAGGCAGCACUGAUAUCGUGGUUUGCUUUUGGCCAGGCUUCCCUUUCACCAUUGUAUAUACCUGUGCUUGCACGCAAGAGUGCUUACCUGCUUUAGUUAUGCAUUUUAGUUUGUACCGUCCUAACGAAACAACUAUGCUUCUUUACACUUUUUUAAAGAAGCCAUGAUGUGCCUGAAAGUAUGCUGGCCGCUCAUUUAUCCCCUUGAAUCUUGGUUCAAGCAAAGUGGGGAGGGACAGCAAGGCCAAGUUUUGCUUCCCAGCAGAUGAGGUAAGCAGGCACUUUGAAUGUGUUUUGAAGUGAGUACGCUCAAUGAAAUUUCGGAGUAGCAGCCAUACGCGAAGUGCUUUCCACUGCUCCUUGCUACAGACGUUUUCUUUCACGGGAAGUAGGUCUAUCAAGAGUUUUAAAAAAUGCACUACAGCUGCGUUUCAGCGCAGCACGCCACUGAAUUUUAUGUCAACGUGCCGGAAAAAAUAACCUGAGCUUUUGUCAUUGCGGAAAGUAAUCAAAACUUUCUUUUAAUUGUAUUCUGUGACUGCUGCAGGCUGAUUUAUUUGCGACGUUUAGCCUUGUUUAUGUCUAUUUCUGUCUUAGUACCAUCAGUGUAAGAAUACUGUGAAUCAGUGAAACGCUAAGAACAAAAAGUUCUACAGAACGAAAAAAUCAUACAAGUUUAUAGCACACAGGUUGGAAAGCAUUUGAAGUGAAUAUAUUUAAACACAAUAGCACUAACGGCGAUAUAUAAAGUUGUUUGGUUUCAUCCUAUUCAACAAGUAGAAUCAGGCAGUGGUUAUGCACUUGCUUUAUAGAAUGCAUUUCUCUUUGUGUAUGUGCACUACACCAUUCAGGAGCUAUUACCAAAUGGAAACACUAGAUCUGAUGUUUGUGUAGCAAUUUCAUGACUGCGAAAUUCUAUGCUUGUCGAGGGAAGAAUGCAUGUGGCUGGCGUAUGCAUAGAGAAGUAGGCCACAUUUGUAAUCUCGCGUAUUCGGGGCAUAUUCGAUGCAGUUGUAAUUUUGAGAAAGUGCGUUUCUACAGCGUUGCUUAGACGGUCACCGAAGGUCAUGUACCCUUUGUUCUUGCAGCUAGGAGCUCGGGUCCCAGAGCAUACUUGAAGAUCGGUCUUUUGUUAUGAGUAUUUUCUGGAUUUUGUCAACGCACGUGGUUAAAAUGAGAAUACAUCGCUUUUCCCGUGCCCAUGCUGCAUUAAUAAUGGUUCCAGCGAAUUGUAUGUUCUAUUUCUGCCAUGUGUGUGUCUUUUGUGUGUUCAAUUUGGAUUUUCUGUGUUAUAAGUUCACUUCUAUUUGUAACUCCGUUUUCACUUCUAUUGUCCCAUCGAACUUUGGGAGUCAAUUGUGGACCACACUUAUUUCGUAACGAUAAUCUGUCAGUCUAUUUAUCUAUAAACCUAACAGUGCUAUUAACGUGCCGAGGAACAACCUAGUGGUCUUGAGUAAUAAUCAGCAAUAGCAACGCUUUGUGCAUGACAAUAAAUAACGGUGAAGUGACGUUGACAUGACGUGAUGAUUACUACGUCGGUGGUGGCAUUACUACUUAACUGCUGUGGCAGGAAAAAGUGGGAACUCCAAGCAUGUAUAGCGCAUGCGUCGGCAUUGAGGAUGGUGUUAGAGCAGCAGUGGCGGCAGCAGCAGCAGCGCAUGGUAUAUAAUGUUUAUGGUUGCAACCUCUAUGGAAAUAGUGUUUUUGCUUCUUGAGACUUUUUCCGGGCUUGGUCGGUGGUCUAGGUCGGUAUGGAAAGCGCUGGUUCGUUCGUUAGUUGUCUCGUUCAUUGUUUCGUUCGUUGAUUCGUUUUUUCGUUGAUUCGUUUUUUCGUUGAUUCGUUUUUUUGUUGAUUCGUUAUUUCGUUGAUUCGUUAUUUCGUUGAUUCGUUCGUCCAUUAAUUUGUUCGUUCGUUGGUUCGUUCGUUCGUUCGCUUGUUGAUUCGUUAAUUAGUUCGCGCUUUCGUUUGCUCUUUCAACAGUUCCUGUAUUUCGUCGUUGAUUAUUGGUGAAUCGUUAGUGCGCUACUUCGUUGAUUAGUUCGUUCUUUUGCUCGUUGGUUCGUUCGGUCGUUCGGGCUAUUAGCUUCCACUGAAAAUUAUCGUGAAUGGUUUCUGCGCAACUUUUCCGUGCCACAGCAAUUAAGUAGUAAUGCCACCGACGCCAUGAACACAACCGCAUUGUCGUCGUAUCACCGCCGCCUUGUAACCUUGUGCUUGUCGUGUUCACUAUGUCGGUGUCGUCGUUCUGUACCUGUCAUCGUCGCCGCGCCCUCAUCAUCGGCGCAGUUUGCACCCUUUGGGGUGUAAAUUUGUCCCACAACCAUAAUCGUCAUCUGCCUUGCUUGCGUUUCCUUUCUUGAAAACUCGGCGCUCGCUACUUUCCUGUCGAGAAUGCUGCGUCGCACUGAUAACGCGCAUGCCGUUCGUGACUGGUAAGUACCGGGCUCGCAGCGCUAAAGAAAGGAAACGUGGGCAAGACAGAUGACGAUUAUUGUUGUGGGCAAAUAUACACCCCAAAGGGUGCAACUGUUUUUAGAGUGUACCGUAUCUUAUCGCCCCUUGUCGAGCGUUGCAGUCAUCAUCGUCGCUGUCGUGUCGUCGCUUUGCAGCGGUCGUCCUCUUGACGGUAAAAUUCAAGAUUAUUCAACAUGUCAGUGAUGUUGGCAGCGAAAAGGACAAAAAGAACACAAUAGAAGUUUGACACGAGAUCUCUGCGCCCUAUAGAAACUUGGUAACGGGUUCAUUGACGUAAAACAAAGUGCAGUAAAAUAACACAGCGGUACGGAAGCUUUGAAAGUAAAAAGAUAAACAUAUUUUGACAGUAAUAAUAUGAAAAAUAUGGUAUUAAACAAUUCAGUAAUGAAGUAAUACAUUGACAGUAAUUAGGUAGCAAUUCAGUAAUCACGGUAAUAAAAAAGCACAGUAAUAAAGUUUCCACAGAGAUCGUUGACAUAGAAUGGAAACAAGCAAGUAAAAACACUAGAAUUUGGUUCGCCGCCAGUAGCUGCCACAAAGAUCAACAAGCAUUAACGAAGUGAUUAAACAAGAGGGGUAGCGCGUAGGAUAACUCGUGAAUACGACAAGUUCUAACCCUGGGAACAAACCAAACGUUACUGCUAUGGGUGUUGUAAAUAGGUAUCGUGAGCUUUAAGUUGCCAGUGAUUGUGAGGAUUGACGAAUACUGUUCAAGACCUGAACGAUAGCGAUUCAUUAAAGCUUUUCCGCAGAGUAGUGGAACGGCAGUAAUAUUGAGCUACUAAAAAAAUAGGCGUAGUGUGACUGCCGUAAGGCGCACCAGCAACAUGGAUUAUAGCGCGUUUUUGUAUGACAAGCAGGUGGUGAAUUUUUGAGAAUAUAGUAGUGCCCCGCCCCUAAGAAAGAGUAGUGAAUAACGGACUUAAAGAAUUGUUGAGAAUUCUUUUGACAGAGCGAUACUACCCAGGGCAAUUUACCUAGAAUGCUUUCAAGCUUCAAACUUUACUUGAGACUAUUACAGCAUGUUCAUUCCAGGACGUAUCUUGCUCAAAUAGUGCACCCAGGUUUUUUUUUUUUUCAUUACAGAAACAGUUUGAUUGAAGAAUCGAUGCUAAGCAGAAUGUUAAGAUUCACUGACACGUCUAUAUAUUAGUCUGAAGAUCACGGAUUGUGUUAUUUUUUUCCACAUUAAUGAUUAAACGAUUUGACAUGGCCCAUCUGUUCACUAAAUCAAGGCACGCUGUACCUUGUCGCAAUAAAUCCUUAUUCCUGUGUUGCAGCAAGGUAAGGUAUUUCAAUGCUCUCUAUGUGGUGAGGAAACUUUCGCGUAGACGUGAUAUAGACGUCAGAAAACCGACUUUCUCAUUUUAUAAGGGGACGCCACACGGAAAAUACUGUGAUAUCGCAAUGCAUUAUGUAACCGCGCAAACACCAACGGACGAAGAAGGAAACGCACAGGAGAUGCGCGGAACUUCCGCGCUUGUCCUGUGUGUUGUCCUGUGUGUUGUCCUGUGUGCUGUCCUGUGUGUCCUCCCUCUUCAAUAUACUGUGAGUUGUAUCAGUAAAUUAAGUUUCUGUACGACCAUCAAACGCCAAUAUUACUGUGCGAAAAACGCUUGGCAAGCCAGAAAAGCAAAAAAAAAAAAAAAUGCGGCUGGUGACGCUGUUGCGCAGUUUCCGCAACAAUUUGCCCGCGACGUCAUGGAUAUUUACGUCUGCUCGGCCGUAUCGUUAACUUGUUGCUGGUAGAGCUGAACCAUAUCGCAUUCUGAAGAGCCAGACACUAAGUGCCAUUUUAUAACAUGUAUUGCUUAUUUUUUCAAAAACAACUACUGCGAGCUGUACUUAAUCUUUAACACAUUAAAGAUUAUACUGUAACGUUUAUACCCUUGUGUUUCGAACUUGGUUCCACCUCUCAAAACAUCAGAACAGGGCCCUACAAAAGUAGCUUUGUUUCAACCUUUUUGAAAGUGUCCGGCAAAAAUUUCGAUCAAUCAAUUAAUCGAUGACAAACCCUGCAUCAAAAGCGAUUAACCAUUGAAGGCUAAAGUGAUGAAUGAUUAGUCGCGAAUCGAAUGUCAGCGUUAUGUGUUCUCAUCUGUUUCUUCGGGCUUUUUACUUACGCAUGCGAUGUUAUUUCUUUUCUUUUUUCAUCGGUGCCGAGAACGAGUGGGGCGAAAUCGACAGGGUCGUGUCGUGCCCGCAUCUCUUGAGCAAAGGUGAUGCUGGCCUUUCGUGCGUCAUCACCACGUCAAGCGUGUGAGGCAGCACGGCGUCUCACUGUACGAUUCAGGCGAGCAAGGCCUUGCUGUGCGACAAGGCCGGCGUUGCCGGUGGCCUGCUGUUCUAGCAGCCUGGUGCCCUGGUGGCCGCGCUGUGGAUCUGGUGGCCAGCUGAUCUAGCGAUCUGGUGACCCCAUGCCUGUUCUGCUGACUUGGUGACCAGCUGUUCUGCGGACCUGGUGACCAGCUGUUCUAGCAGACUGGUGUCUCAAUACCAGCCCUGUGGAUCUGGUGCCCAGCUGGUCUAGCAACGUGAUUCUCGAUGCGUGCCCUGCUGACCUGGUGGUUAGCGGUUCUACCAGCCUGGUGUCUUGAUGCACGCCCUAUUGAUCUGGUGGCCAGCUCACGAAGCUCUCUGCCUGCCCUGAGAGUGGCCAGGCCUUCUGGCAACGGGCGCUGCCUGGCGGCCCAGCUUGCGGAUGCGGUGGUCAGCUGGUAUCUCGGAGUCCAACCUGGUAUCUCGGAGUCCAAUCUGGUAUCUCGGAGUCCACCCUUGCUGCCUGGCAUGCAGCGGUUCUCGCUGCGCGCCAUGUCGACCUCGUGGCCAUCUGUUCUCGUCGCGUCUUCCGCUGCUCAUCAGAAGAUAGCGCGUGCGUUAAGGAAUCGCAGAGCAGCGUGCUCACCGUAAGCGGCUAUGAUGGCCAAAAUUUACCCACCACGGACUUGGAACGACAAUUCCUCGAUCGGGAGCACCUUGCGGCCAGACUGUCGAACAGCCGUUGACCCAGGC